GGACUACUUGUUGUGUCAGAUACUAGGCAGAACCCACUCACUUCUCUAAAGCCCUUAUAGGGAAGGUACUAUUAUUAUUCCUGUUUUUCAAUUAAGGAUACUGAGGCACUGUGAGGUUCACUGAAAGCUGGACUGUGAGGAAGAUUCGGGCCGUCGGACUCCAGACCCCAAGCUCUAACAUACUAUAUGGAGAAAUUAAGGCAUUGAAAAGUCACUUGCCCCAGAUGACACAGCUAGUGGACAGUCGAGGAAAUGUGGGCUCUGGAGUUGAAUCACGAUCUAGAUUCAAAUCUUGGUCCUGCCAUUUGCUGGAGGGACAUGUUUAGGAGGGCAUCCCAGGAGAAGGCAGAGUCCAGGAGGCGGAUGUUGGGAAGCAAAUCCUGAACUCAUCAAGUCCCAUAGCCCCUUUGUCUAUGGACCUUCUGCCAGCAUCU
rnacentral:lncRNA from 1 species